GGUAGUCCACGCCGUAAACGAUGUCGACUUGGAGGUUGUGCCCUUGAGGCGUGGCUUCCGGAGCUAACGCGUUAAGUCGACCGCCUGGGGAGUACGGCCGCAAGGUUAAAACUCAAAUGAAUUGACGGGGGCCCGCACAAGCGGUGGGGCAUGUGGUUUAAUUCGAUGCAACGCGAAGAACCUUACCUACUCUUGACAUCCAGAGAACUUUCCAGAGAUGGAUUGGUGCCUUCGGGAACUCUGAGACAGGUGCUGCAUGGCUGUCGUCAGCUCGUGUUGUGAAAUGUUGGGUUAAGUCCCGCAACGAGCGCAACCCUUAUCCUUUGUUGCCAGCGGUUAGGCCGGGAACUCAAAGGAGACUGCCAGUGAUAAACUGGAGGAAGGUGGGGAUGACGUCAAGUCAUCAUGGCCCUUACGAGUAGGGCUACACACGUGCUACAAUGGCGCAUACAAAGAGAAGCGACCUCGCGAGAGCAAGCGGACCUCAUAAAGUGCGUCGUAGUCCGGAUUGGAGUCUGCAACUCGACUCCAUGAAGUCGGAAUCGCUAGUAAUCGUAGAUCAGAAUGCUACGGUGAAUACGUUCCCGGGCCUUGUACACACCGCCCGUCACACCAUGGGAGUGGGUUGCAAAAGAAGUAGGUAGCUUAACCUUCGGGAGGGCGCUUACCACUUUGUGAUUCAUGACUGGGGUGAAGUCGUAACAAGGUAACCGUAGGGGAACCCUGC
rnacentral:rRNA from 1 species